rnacentral:rRNA from 1 species
AACGAACGCUGGCGGCAGGCUUAACACAUGCAAGUCGAACGCCCCGCGGGGGGAGUGGCAGACGGGUGAAUAACGCGUGGGAAUCUACCGUACCCUACGGAACAACAGUUGGAAACGACUGCUAAUACCGUAUACGCCCUACGGGGGAAAGAUUUAUCGGGGUAUGAUGAGCCCGCGUUGGAUUAGCUAGUUGGUGGGGUAAAGGCCUACCAAGGCGACGAUCCAUAGCUGGUCUGAGAGGAUGAUCAGCCACAUUGGGACUGAGACACGGCCCAAACUCCUACGGGAGGCAGCAGUGGGGAAUAUUGGACAAUGGGCGCAAGCCUGAUCCAGCCAUGCCGCGUGAGUGAUGAAGGUCUUAGGAUUGUAAAGCUCUUUCACCGAUGAAGAUAAUGACGGUAGUCGGAGAAGAAGCCCCGGCCAACUUCGUGCCAGCCGCCGCAGUAA